rnacentral:rRNA from 1 species
UACGUAGGUGGCAAGCGUUGUCCGGAAUUAUUGGGCGUAAAGCGCGCGCAGGUGGUUUCUUAAGUCUGAUGUGAAAGCCCACGGCUCAACCGUGGAGGGUCAUUGGAAACUGGGGAACUUGAGUGCAGGAGAGAAGAGUGGAAUUCCACGUGUAGCGGUGAAAUGCGUAGAGAUGUGGAGGAACACCAGUGGCGAAGGCGACUCUUUGGCCUGUAACUGACACUGAGGCGCGAAGCGUGGGGAGCAAACAGG